UACGAAGGGGGCGAGCGUUGUUCGGAAUUACUGGGCGUAAAGGGCGCGUAGGCGGUCUGCUAAGUUGGAUGUGAAAACUCUGGGCUUAACCCAGAGCCUGCAUUCAAUACUGACAGGCUAGAGUUCUGGAGGGGAUAGCGGAAUUCCUGGUGUAGCGGUGAAAUGCGUAGAUAUCAGGAGGAACACCGGUGGCGAAGGCGGCUAUCUGGACAGAGUCUGACGCUGAGGCGCGAAAGCUAGGGGAGCAAACAGG
rnacentral:rRNA from 1 species